rnacentral:misc_RNA from 1 species
AACGGUCUAUACCUGCGGUACCUGCGGAGGGAUCAUUACCGAGUUAUCAACUCCCAAACCCCUGUGAACAUACCCGAACGUUGCCUCGGCGGGACCGCCCCGGCGCCCCUAGCGGCCCGGAACCAGGCGCCCGCCGGAGGACCCAAACUCUUGCUUUAAACAGUGGCAUACUCUCUGAGUCUCACAAACAAAAAAUAAAUCAAAACUUUUAGCAAUGGAUCUCUAGAUCGGAAGAGCACA